rnacentral:rRNA from 1 species
CGUCACACUAUCAUUAACUGAAUCCAUAGGUUAAUGAGGCGAACCGGGGGAACUGAAACAUCUAAGUACCCCGAGGAAAAGAAAUCAACCGAGAUUCCCCCAGUAGCGGCGAGCGAACGGGGAGGAGCCCAGAGCCUGAAUCAGUGUGUGUGUUAGUGGAAGCGUCUGGAAAGGCGUGCGAUACAGGGUGACAGCCCCGUACACAAAAAUGCACAUGCUGUGAGCUCGAUGAGUAGGGCGGGACACGUGGUAUCCUGUCUGAAUAUGGGGGGACCAUCCUCCAAGGCUAAAUACUCCUGACUGACCGAUAGUGAACCAGUACCGUGAGGGAAAGGCGAAAAGAACCCCGGCGAGGGGAGUGAAAAAGAACCUGAAACCGUGUACGUACAAGCAGUGGGAGCCUCUUUAUGGGGUGACUGCGUACCUUUUGUAUAAUGGGUCAGCGACUUAUAUUCUGUAGCAAGGUUAACCGAAUAGGGGAGCCGAAGGGAAACCGAGUCUUAACUGGGCGUUAAGUUGCAGGGUAUAGACCCGAAACCCGGUGAUCUAGCCAUGGGCAGGUUGAAGGUUGGGUAACACUAACUGGAGGACCGAACCGACUAAUGUUGAAAAAUUAGCGGAUGACUUGUGGCUGGGGGUGAAAGGCCAAUCAAACCGGGAGAUAGCUGGUUCUCCCCGAAAGCUAUUUAGGUAGCGCCUCGUGAAUUCAUCUCCGGGGGUAGAGCACUGUUUCGGCAAGGGGGUCAUCCCGACUUACCAACCCGAUGCAAACUGCGAAUACCGGAGAAUGUUAUCACGGGAGACACACGGCGGGUGCUAACGUCCGUCGUGAAGAGGGAAACAACCCAGACCGCCAGCUAAGGUCCCAAAGUCAUGGUUAAGUGGGAAACGAUGUGGGAAGGCCCAGACAGCCAGGAUGUUGGCUUAGAAGCAGCCAUCAUUUAAAGAAAGCGUAAUAGCUCACUGGUCGAGUCGGCCUGCGCGGAAGAUGUAACGGGGCUAAACCAUGCACCGAAGCUGCGGCAGCGACACUAUGUGUUGUUGGGUAGGGGAGCGUUCUGUAAGCCGUUGAAGGUGUGCUGUGAGGCAUGCUGGAGGUAUCAGAAGUGCGAAUGCUGACAUAAGUAACGAUAAAGCGGGUGAAAAGCCCGCUCGCCGGAAGACCAAGGGUUCCUGUCCAACGUUAAUCGGGGCAGGGUGAGUCGACCCCUAAGGCGAGGCCGAAAGGCGUAGUCGAUGGGAAACAGGUUAAUAUUCCUGUACUUGGUGUUACUGCGAAGGGGGGACGGAGAAGGCUAUGUUGGCCGGGCGACGGUUGUCCCGGUUUAAGCGUGUAGGCUGAUUUUCCAGGCAAAUCCGGAGAAUCAAGGCUGAGGCGUGAUGACGAGGCACUACGGUGCUGAAGCAACAAAUGCCCUGCUUCCAGGAAAAGCCUCUAAGCAUCAGGUAACAUCAAAUCGUACCCCAAACCGACACAGGUGGUCAGGUAGAGAAUACCAAGGCGCUUGAGAGAACUCGGGUGAAGGAACUAGGCAAAAUGGUGCCGUAACUUCGGGAGAAGGCACGCUGAUGGUAGGUGAAGCGACUUGCUCGUGGAGCUGAAAUCAGUCGAAGAUACCAGCUGGCUGCAACUGUUUAUUAAAAACACAGCACUGUGCAAACACGAAAGUGGACGUAUACGGUGUGACGCCUGCCCGGUGCCGGAAGGUUAAUUGAUGGGGUCAGCCGCAAGGCGAAGCUCUUGAUCGAAGCCCCGGUAAACGGCGGCCGUAACUAUAACGGUCCUAAGGUAGCGAAAUUCCUUGUCGGGUAAGUUCCGACCUGCACGAAUGGCGUAAUGAUGGCCAGGCUGUCUCCACCCGAGACUCAGUGAAAUUGAACUCGCUGUGAAGAUGCAGUGUACCCGCGGCAAGACGGAAAGACCCCGUGAACCUUUACUAUAGCUUGACACUGAACAUUGAGCCUUGAUGUGUAGGAUAGGUGGGAGGCUUUGAAGUGUGGACGCCAGUCUGCAUGGAGCCGACCUUGAAAUACCACCCUUUAAUGUUUGAUGUUCUAACGUGGACCCGUGAUCCGGGUUGCGGACAGUGUCUGGUGGGUAGUUUGACUGGGGCGGUCUCCUCCUAAAGAGUAACGGAGGAGCACGAAGGUUGGCUAAUCCUGGUCGGACAUCAGGAGGUUAGUGCAAUGGCAUAAGCCAGCUUGACUGCGAGCGUGACGGCGCGAGCAGGUGCGAAAGCAGGUCAUAGUGAUCCGGUGGUUCUGAAUGGAAGGGCCAUCGCUCAACGGAUAAAAGGUACUCCGGGGAUAACAGGCUGAUACCGCCCAAGAGUUCAUAUCGACGGCGGUGUUUGGCACCUCGAUGUCGGCUCAUCACAUCCUGGGGCUGAAGUAGGUCCCAAGGGUAUGGCUGUUCGCCAUUUAAAGUGGUACGCGAGCUGGGUUUAGAACGUCGUGAGACAGUUCGGUCCCUAUCUGCCGUGGGCGCUGGAGAACUGAGGGGGGCUGCUCCUAGUACGAGAGGACCGGAGUGGACGCAUCACUGGUGUUCGGGUUGUCAUGCCAAUGGCACUGCCCGGUAGCUAAAUGCGGAAGAGAUAAGUGCUGAAAGCAUCUAAGCACGAAACUUGCCCCGAGAUGAGUUCUCCCUGAGACUUUAAGUCUCCUGAAGGAACGUUGAAGACGACGACGUUGAUAGGCCGGGUGUGUAAGCGCAGCGAUGCGUUGAGCUAACCGGUACUAAUGAACCGUGAGGCUUAACCUU